UACGGAAGGGGCAAGCGUUGUUCGGAAUCAUUGGGCGUAAAGGGCGUGUAGGUGGUUCUGUAUGUCUACCGUGAAAGCGUACGGCUCAACCGUAUUUAGUCGGUAGAAACUGCAGGACUUGAGGCUGGGAGGGGCUGGUGGAAUUCCCCGUGUAGCGGUGAAAUGCGUAGAGAUGGGGGGAGAACACUCGUGGCGAAGGCGGCCAGCUAGACCAGUUCUGACACUGAGGCGCGUAGCGUGGGGGAGCAAACAGG
rnacentral:rRNA from 1 species